CCUACGGGAGGCAGCAGUGGGGAAUAUUGGACAAUGGGCGAAAGCCUGAUCCAGCAAUGCCGCGUGAGUGAUGAAGGCCUUAGGGUUGUAAAGCUCUUUUACCAGGGAUGAUAAUGACAGUACCUGGAGAAUAAGCUCCGGCUAACUCCGUGCCAGCAGCCGCGGUAAUACGGAGGGAGCUAGCGUUGUUCGGAAUUACUGGGCGUAAAGCGUGCGUAGGCGGUGACUCAAGUCAGAGGUGAAAGCCUGGAGCUCAACUCCAGAACUGCCUUUGAAACUAGGUCGCUAGAAUCAUGGAGAGGUGAGUGGAAUUCCGAGUGUAGAGGUGAAAUUCGUAGAUAUUCGGAAGAACACCAGUGGCGAAGGCGGCUCACUGGACAUGUAUUGACGCUGAGGCACGAAAGCGUGGGGAGCAAACAGGAUUAGAUACCCUGGUAGUCCACGACCGUAACGAUAGAUACUAGCGUCGCGACGGACGUCUAGUGGUAGUCGUUGGUUGGUCGGCGACGCGUACGACGAGUUAAGUUAGUACCGCCGUCGGGAGGUAACGGUCGUCGAGAGUUAAACGUUACGAAGAAGUUAGACGGCGNGAGAGNGCGACGGACGACGACGAGGGAGGAGG
rnacentral:rRNA from 1 species